UCGGGAAUAUUGCCCAAUGGUCGCAAGACUGAGGAAGCAACGCCGCGUGCGCGAUGAAGGCCUUCGGGUCGUAAAGCGCUUUUCAGUGGGAUGAGGAAGGACAGUACCACUGGAAUAAGGUACGGCUAACUACGUGCCAGCAGCCGCGGUAAAACGUAGGUACCGAGCGUUAUCCGGAUUUACUGGGCGUAAAGCGUGUUCAGGCGGUCUGGCAAGUCGGGCAUGAAAUCUCUCGGCUCAACCGGGAGGGGUUGUCCGAUACUGCUGGGCUUGAGGGCAGCAGAGGGUGGUGGAAUUCCGGGUGUAGUGGUGAAAUGCGUAGAUAUCCGGAGGAACACCAGUGGCGAAGGCGGCCACCUGGGCUGUACCUGACGCUCACACACGAAAGCUAGGGGAGCGAAC
rnacentral:rRNA from 1 species